rnacentral:rRNA from 1 species
AAUAUUGCGCAAUGGGGGGAACCCUGACGCAGCAACGCCGCGUGAGCGAUGAAGGCCUUCGGGUCGUAAAGCUCUGUCUUAAGGGAUGAUAAUGACGGUACCUGCAGAGUAAGCACCGGCUACCUACGUUCCAGCAGCCGCGGUAAUACGUAGGGUGCAAGCGUUAAUCGGAAUUACUGGGCGUAAAGCGUGCGCAGGCGGUUCGGCAAGAAGGAUGUGAAAUCCCAGGGCUUAACCUUGGAACUGCAUUCUUAACUGCCGGGCUAGAGUAUGUCAGAGGGGGGUAGAAUUCCGCGUGUAGCAGUGAAAUGCGUAGAGAUGCGGAGGAAUACCGAUGGCGAAGGCAGCCCCCUGGGAUAAUACUGACGCUCAUGCACGAAAGCGUGGGGAGCAAA